CUUGGUUGGUGAGAUGAAACGGUCAUUGGAUCAGCCAAAUUUUCAUCUUUUUCCUCUAUGAUACAUCUAUGGGCAAGAUACAUAGAUGAUAUUCUAACUGUAUGGAAAGGCACAUCCAAUGACUUUGAUCGUUUUGUGAAUCUUCUAAACGAAAAUAAUUUUAAUUUAAGAUUUACCUCUGAAUUUGGUGGAAAAGCCCUUAAUUUUCUGGACUUGACAAUUUCAAUUGAUAGUUGUAGGUCCAUUCGGACUACACUCUUUAGAAAG